AUUGAACGCUGGCGGCAGGCCUAACACAUGCAAGUCGAGCGGAUGAGGGAAGCUUGCUUCCCGAUUUAGCGGCGGACGGGUGAGUAAUGCCUAGGAAUCUGCCUAUUAGUGGGGGAUAACGUUCCGAAAGGAACGCUAAUACCGCAUACGUCCUACGGGAGAAAGUGGGGGAUCUUCGGACCUCACGCUAAUAGAUGAGCCUAGGUCGGAUUAGCUAGUUGGUGAGGUAACGGCUCACCAAGGCGACGAUCCGAAGCUGGUCUGAGAGGAUGAUCAGCCACACUGGAACUGAGACACGGUCCAGACUCCUACGGGAGGCAGCAGUGGGGAAUAUUGGACAAUGGGCGAAAGCCUGAUCCAGCCAUGCCGCGUGUGUGAAGAAGGUCUUCGGAUUGUAAAGCACUUUAAGUUGGGAGGAAGAGUUGUAAGCUAAUAUCUUGCAGCUUUGACGUUACCAACAGAAUAAGCACCGGCUAACUCUGUGCCAGCCGCCGCGGUAACAC
rnacentral:rRNA from 1 species